GGGGUGGACAGAACUCCCCUCCUCCCAGGCAGGUGGAUGCACACCCACUGGACAAUCAAAACUUAGGAGCUGGGAGAGGGAACGCCAGGAAGCUGGAGGGCGCAGGGCUCAGAGGUGCAGGAAAGGGCUGGCCACGCGCGCAGGGCGGCGUCAGCGGCUCCAGGGACCUCCUCCAUUAGCGGCCAGUCACUCUGAAGAAGCCAGUCGCUAACCCGGCCUCUCCUUCCCUUCCUAAUCCGAGACAGAGUGGGACUGCCUCACCCAGCACGGAAACCGAGACGUCCCAUACAGAAAGGGAAACUGAGGCUGAGGGUUCAGACUUCAAGAGGUCCAGCAUUGCUAGCUCCAUUGCUUUGGAACUGUGGGAGCUAGAGCACAGGGCUCAAAGAAGAAGUGUGGCCAAUUGCAGAAGAUGGGGCAGAGAGAGCCCAUGGACACUCCAGGCUCCGGGUGAAUUCUCAUCUCUUUUCCCUAGAAGCAGAGCAGAAUGAAGUGACCAUCAAGGCCACAUCUUCCUUAUACAUUGAAGAGUGGUUGAAGAGAACACCUGAUAUCAGCCUGUGGUCUCCAUAUGGACGUGCACGUGUCAUUCCUCUGGUUGGUACCGCACACUCAAUUACCAGGGUUUGCAGAAUGAAGCAGACCUUGGCAAUACCAUCACCUACCACCAGGGGCACUGCUGCCUUGGAGACCUCCAGACAGAGAGGGCUUCUGAGAAGGCAUCAUGACCAGCUUAGUGGGAAGGAGAGGUUUUGGCUACUUACUGACAUUUGGAUCAACAUGUUCCCCUGAGAAACGAGGAGAAGCCAUCCUGUUCCUUCCAGAGCCUGGCUUCGGGAGGAUAAUAUACACUUCCAUUUGUCACCAGCAGCUCUGUGUUCUUUCCUGAGUUAUCCCAGGUCCCAGAGGAGCUCACAAAUGCUGGGAACAUUCUUCGUAGCCCAACCCAUUUCAGUGCUGAGUAUCCCCAUUAUUUGGAAAGCCACCAUUCUCCUAAUUCUCCCCCGAAGGACAUUUUGCUUUCUCUAAGGGUUUGGUGAUGGUGGGAAAAGCUGCUAUAAAUGUUACCGUGCUGGCUUGUGUGUAGAAGUAAAUGUUCAUCUGAGUAAAGACUAAGGGGGCACAACUGGGAUCACGUGGGAAGAUGCUUUCAAUCUUGUAAACAAUCAACUCAUCUUCCAAAGUAGUUGUGCCAUUUCUCAUUCCAGCAGCAAUGACCAGCCAUUCCCGCUGUCUCUCAUCCUUGCUAGCACAUGAUGUCACCAGUGCUCUGGGGUCUGGCCAUUCUAAAGGUAGGUAGGGCUAUUUUGUGGAUGUUUUGAUUUGCAGUUGCACAGUGGCACUCUGAACACAUUUCUCCCAUUAAAGAUCGCAAUGACCUGUGAGUUCCAGGCCAGCCUAGACUACACAGCAAAUGUUAGGCCAGCCUGGGCUAUACAAUAAGAUCCUAUCUUUUGAAAUAUACAACCCAAUAAUAGUAAAAUGUUACAGAUAGCACACAAGUAUGGUAGUUGCAAAAUAAACACCCCUGUAACUGACAAUCCAUCCAAGAGCCCU